rnacentral:rRNA from 1 species
CGUACACUCCUACGGGAGGCAGCAGUGGGGAAUAUUGGACAAUGGGCGCAAGCCUGAUCCAGCCAUGCCGCGUGAGUGAUGAAGGCCCUAGGGUUGUAAAGCUCUUUCACCGGUGAAGAUAAUGACGGUAACCGGAGAAGAAGCCCCGGCUAACUUCGUGCCAGCAGCCGCGGUAAUACGAAGGGGGCUAGCGUUGUUCGGAUUUACUGGGCGUAAAGCGCACGUAGGCGGACUAUUAAGUCAGGGGUGAAAUCCCGGGGCUCAACCCCGGAACUGCCUUUGAUACUGGUAGUCUUGAGUUCGAGAGAGGUGAGUGGAAUUCCGAGUGGAGAGGUGAAAUUCGUAGAUAUUCGGAGGAACACCAGUGGCGAAGGCGGCUCACUGGCUCGAUACUGACGCUGAGGUGCGAAAGCGUGGGGAGCAAACAGGAUUAGAAACCCUUGUAGUCCC